UAUAUUUAUACUUAUUCCGGAUUACUAUUUUCAAGUACGUUUAGUUUCGUGUUGAUUGCCACUAUCAUUAAACACUAAUUACUAAUCGGAGGACGCGAGUUGGUUGUUUCGUUACGAAAUUUAAAUGACACUUUUUUGUAAAUCUUCUAAAAAUAGUUACAAAACCUAGAAAUAUUAAUAUGUAAUGAUAACGUAAACGUACUGUUUAUCCUUAGAUAAAGAGAGCACACGUUUCCGUUUGCUCGUGAUUCCUCCUCGAUCCGUCCGUAUUUGUUGUGUGUUGUUUAUACGACGACGAAUUCCAUUCAUCUAAAAAUACAAUUAUUUACUCGUUCACCCACUAAUCUCCAAACGAACACAUAUUAAUUUAGUUAAAUCAUUCCGUAAGUUUACACGAUUAUUCAACACGAAUUUGUUUUGUAUUUAAAAACGGUUGAUUAUUAAAUAGGAUAUAAUGUAAACACACACAUUGAAAAUGUUCAGUCCACAUGUUUCAGUUCAUGUGACCCAAUUUGAGUGCUUCAGAAGGAAAAAAAUUGUGAAUCUUGAUGUAUCUUCAUUGCAUUGUUACAACUUGUACUUUUAUAGUCGAUUACAAAUGCACGCUUGCUGAGGAAGAGGUAUAGCAAGAGGCGGCGGCUGCGAAAAUAUUACUUGGCAGAGCGAGUUAUAUGGGUCGAUUGAAGAUUGAAGAAGCUCGCUGUAACGUAACCUCGAGUCGAAAUCGACGAAUUUCUUAUGCAACCUCGAGGCGGAGCGCAGAGCAACAACCUCGGCCAAGGAUUUUCGGGCCGGGCCGGGCCGGAGAAAGUGGAAACGAAUAUUAUAUACUUUUCAUUUCGGGAUGACGAUGAUGAUGAAAAGAAACGCGUGAUAAUUCCAGCAUCUCCAAGGACUUCCUCUGCCUGACGACGACGAAGGAUUGUUUGCGGAUCGUCCUUCGCGAGCGAACGAAACGAUAAUUGUGAGCAUUCGGCGCGGACUCUGUUCUCGACGAUUUACGGUCCUCACCCUUAUUAGGAAUGGUAAUUGUGGAAUGCGCGCAGAAGAAAGGAGAUGAUUUAUUCCCAGACGAAAGUAGAUGGAAACAUAUUGGAUCGGUGGUCGUGUCUUUAAUAGGUUGAGCUUCGGUUUUGUUUCUGCCCGGUUUGCUGAAAAGGAUCGAUGCAGAUUCGGAGCGCAAAGUCAACAGAAGUCGUAACAAGUCUGUAAACAAGGAUCCAAUUGGAAUUCGAUUAUAGUUAUAAUGUUCGUCUUCGAAAUCGGGGUUGAGUCACCAUGGUGUUGUUUCGUUACCGGGUGACACACACACCAGAGUACACAACAUGGGGGAUACUCAAGGUUUGGAUCACCAAGGCAACGGCAAGUGACGUUCUUCGGGGGCGAAACGGUUUCAUCAGCUGAAUUAUUUAAG